UACAGAGGGGGCAAGCGUUGUUCGGAAUUACUGGGCGUAAAGGGCGCGUAGGCGGCCUGUUAAGUCGGACGUGAAAUCCCUCGGCUCAACCGGGGAACUGCGUCCGAUACUGGCGGGCUUGAAUUCGGGAGAGGGAUGUGGAAUUCCAGGUGUAGCGGUGAAAUGCGUAGAUAUCUGGAGGAACACCGGUGGCGAAGGCGGCAUCCUGGACCGACAUUGACGCUGAGGCGCGAAAGCGUGGGUAGCAAACAGG
rnacentral:rRNA from 1 species